UUGUACUUAAGUACGUGUUCGCCCGAUUUAGAUCUUGGGUAGGGAUCUGUCUGCUCUCUCGGAUCAGAGGGACUCGAUCAGAGUUGGAGAUUGAAACCAAAGAACGGGCAAAAUGCGAGGCUUGCUUGUGUCACCUUUUCUCGUGAUAUUAUCAGGAGUUCUCCCACUUACAACACGAGGUGAUAAACAUGUUGAUGUCACAGCCAAAAUCAAUGAUGAUGUCCUUCUUCCAUGCAACUGCACAAAUCUAAAUACGACGCUUCAAUUAAAGUGGCAAAAGGAUGCCGAAGUUAUUUAUGCCAGCUUUAACCAAACAGAAAAUGACGCAUUUAAACUUUUCCCUAAUGGAAUCAAGGAAGAAAACUGCUCCUUGCUUCUGAAGAAAAUCAAAGCAGAGAACAAAGGCAUAUAUAAAUGUCUCUAUCAUGAGGGGGGGAUC